UGAUUUGAACUCUUCCAAGAAUGAAAAGUAAUAAAAGGAGUUUUAGAUAUGAGACACUCUUAGAAAACUCACAGAUGGAGGAAGGAGAGAGGUGAACUCAGCAACCCUAGAGGAGGACCCUCUUCUUCUUCUCUUUGCUCUAACCCAGACACUUAGUUUUGUGUCUAUUAUAUCUCCAUGCUCCAACACUCUUUCUCCCUAAUUUUUACAUGCCCCAA
rnacentral:lncRNA from 1 species